rnacentral:rRNA from 1 species
UACGAAGGGGGCUAGCGUUGCUCGGAAUCACUGGGCGUAAAGCGCACGUAGGCGGAUUGUUAAGUCAGGGGUGAAAUCCUGGAGCCCAACUCCAGAACUGCCUUUGAUACUGGCGAUCUUGAGUCCGGGAGAGGUGAGUGGAACUGCGAGUGUAGAGGUGAAAUUCGUAGAUAUUCGCAAGAACACCAGUGGCGAAGGCGGCUCACUGGCCCGGUACUGACGCUGAGGUGCGAAAGCGUGGGGAGCAAACAGG